UAGGGAAUCUUCCACAAUGGACGCAAGUCUGAUGGAGCAACGCCGCGUGAGUGAAGAAGGUUUUCGGAUCGUAAAGCUCUGUUGUUGGUGAAGAAGGAUAGAGGCAGUAACUGGUCUUUAUUUGACGGUAAUCAACCAGAAAGUCACGGCUAACUACGUGCCAGCAGCCGCGGUAAUACGUAGGUGGGAAGCGUUGUCCGGAUUUAUUGGGCGUAAAGUGAGCGCAGGCGGAAUGAUAAGUCUGAUGUGAAAGCCCACGGCUCAACCGUGGAACUGCAUCGGAAACUGUCAUUCUUGAGUGCAGAAGAGGAGAGUGGAAUUCCAUGUGUAGCGGUGGAAUGCGUAGAUAUAUGGAAGAACACCAGUGGCGAAGGCGGCUCUCUGGUCUGCAACUGACGCUGAGGCGCGAAAGCAUGGGUAGCGAACAGG
rnacentral:rRNA from 1 species